GCUCUGGGACAGGGCCCAUGCAUGUCAUCUGAGCCUGGCUUUUCUCUGCCAGCCCUGGCAGUGUUCUAAUCUCUUAUUCUCCUUUGGUCUAAAUUUAUUAUUUCCUAUGUCAACCAAUAUUAUCAGUAGUAACAUUAACAGU
ensembl:snoRNA